rnacentral:rRNA from 1 species
GGAGGGGGUUAGCGUUGUUCGGAAUUACUGGGCGUAAAGCGCGCGUAGGCGGGUUGUUAAGUUAGAGGUGAAAUCCCGGGGCUCAACCCCGGAACUGCCUUUAAUACUGGCAACCUAGAGUUCGAGAGAGGUGAGUGGAAUUCCGAGUGUAGAGGUGAAAUUCGUAGAUAUUCGGAGGAACACCAGUGGCGAAGGCGGCUCACUGGCUCGAUACUGACGCUGAGGUGCGAAAGUGUGGGGAGCAAACAGGAUUAGAUACCCUGGUAGUCCACGCCGUAAACGAUGUCUACUAGCUGUAGGGGUACUUGAGACCUUUGUAGCGCAGCUAACGCAAUAAGUAGACCGCCUGGGGAGUACGGCCGCAAGGUUAAAACUCAAAUGAAUUGACGGGGGCCCGCACAAGCAGUGGAGCAUGUGGUUUAAUUCGAUGCAACGCGAAGAACCUUACCAGGCCUUGACAUCCUCGGAACUUUUCAGAGAUGAAUUGGUGCCUUCGGGAAUCUAGAUACAGGUGCUGCAUGGCU